GGUCUUAUAGUGUAGUGGUUUAGCACACGAGGUUUUGAUUUCAUGAUCUUCCUCGUGACCCAGGUUCGAACCCUGGUAAGACCU